rnacentral:rRNA from 1 species
UACGAAGGGGGCUAGCGUUGCUCGGAAUUACUGGGCGUAAAGCGUCCGUAGGUGGCGUUUCAAGUCUGCUGUCAAAGCACAAGGCUUAACCUUGUAAAGGCAGUGGAAACUGAAAGAGCUAGAGUGCGGUAGGGGUAGAGGGAAUUCCCAGUGUAGCGGUGAAAUGCGUAGAGAAUUGGGAAGAACACCGGUGGCGAAAG